UACGGAGGAUGCGAGCGUUAUCCGGAUUUAUUGGGUUUAAAGGGUGCGUAGGCGGGAUGCCAAGUCAGCGGUAAAAAUGCGGUGCUCAACGCCGUCGAGCCGUUGAAACUGGCGUUCUUGAGUGGGCGAGAAGUAUGCGGAAUGCGUGGUGUAGCGGUGAAAUGCAUAGAUAUCACGAAGAACCCCGAUUGCGAAGGCAGCAUACCGGCGCCCUACUGACGCUGAGGCACGAAAGCGUGGGUAUCGAACAGG
rnacentral:rRNA from 1 species